AUGGGUCAUAGUGCUUAAAAAACUGAAAGGUUUGUUUAGUUACAAAGCCUCUAGCAGAAACACCUCCUGUGACCACCCCCAUCUUCAUUGGAAACUACAGUACCUGAAGCUACUAAAGUAUCCGUGCUAUUCAUAGAAUUGGGACUGAUCUGUUUGUCACAUCCAGAUUUUGAUUAGUUUAAAGUUACUUAGGCCUCCUCUUCCUCCUCAACAAAACUAUUAAUGCAAACCAUAGAGUUUGUAUUUGCGAAUAUUUUCAUGUUAAAAUCUCAUUUAAAAAAUUGUUUAAUGUAUACAAAUAUAGCAGAUUUUUGUCAUCAUAUUACACCUUGGCUGAAAACCGCUCUUCAGCACCAAUGAGUGAUUAAAAGUUUUAUCAAUAACGUUGAUUUGCUACUUACAGAAUAUCAUUGUCCUGUUUCACAGAGAAAAGGAGGUGGGUAAUACAGUACAUUAAAACUCUCAUUAUCGAGAUUCUUAAAUUUUCCAGGGAGAAAUGUCUGGUUCUCCAUUCCCAAUAACUGGACAGAUGGCCAGUUAACACCCAAAUGGCUCAAAUCGCCAGGUGCAAUUACUGUAUCUCCUCUGCUCAAAUGACAUUAGUUUUGUGAUUUUUUUUUUUUUUUUUGUAAAGCACCCAACGUUGUAGGACUUAUAAUUACGAGAAAUGUAUAAGGGUUAAUGGGGGUAGAUCUGCAUGCCCUUUCAAAGGCCAAAUCAAACUGUUUCUCAAUGAUUUUGUAUUCUAAUUUGGUCAUCAGUAAGGAGAAGCCAACUGCAACUUGCGUAUUCUGGGAAACAAUAAUGAUGUAAGAGUAAGAUCACCCAAGCAAGUACAGUACAGUUUCUAUAUCCAUGUAGAAAAGUGUCAGAAAAGAAAUGAUAAGAGCAGAUAGGUGCAAGUGCAGUAUAGACAAUGAGGAACACAGUAUAAUAUAUGAGAUGCCAUAGAGUUUGAGAUACAAGACCAUGAAUUACUGAAGUUGAGUAAUACAAGUAUUCAAUCCUCCUCACCCAACCCCUUAGCAGUGCUUACAAAAAGUUAAAUACAGUAAUGCAGUCAUACUGUAUUUGUCUAUGGAAGUUUUUUUUUUUUUAUAGAAUGUAAUAAGUUAAACAAAUAUUUGUUAGUAAAUAGAUAAUUUUAAAUGACUGCAAUGGAGAGGAUUGAUUUCCAUGUUAACUUAUUUCCUUUUGAUAUAUCUAAAAUAUUUGCUGCAAGUAUUGCCAUAAUCAUCUAGUCAUUUUUCCAGUGUGAGGUGCAUAUUUUUAACCACUGGUACUAGGUGGCUGGCAUCAGAGCACCAGUGGUACUAAGUGGCUGGUACCAGGGCACCAGUGGUACUAAGUCACCACUGGUACUAGGUGGCUGGUACAAGAGCACCAGUGGUACUAAGUCACCACUGGUACUAGGUGGCUGGUACCAGAGCACCAGUGGCACUAAGUCACCACUGGUACUAGGUGGCUGGUACCAGAGCACCAGUG